AUUGAACGCUGGCGGCAGGCCUAACACAUGCAAGUCGAACGAGUGGCGGACGGGUGAGUAAUGUCUGGGAAACUGCCUGAUGGAGGGGGCUAACUACUGGAAAAGGUAGCUAAUACCGCAUACCAUCGGAUGUGCCAAGAUGGGAUUAGCUAGUAGGUGGUGUAAAGGCUCACCUAGGCGACGAUCCCUAGCUGUGCUGAGAGGAUGACCAGCCAAACUGGAAGUGAGACACGGGCCAGACUCCUACGGGAGGCAGCAGUGGGGAAUAUUGCACAAGGGGCGCAAGCCUGAUGCAGCCAUGCCGCGUGUAUGAAGAAGGCCUUCGGGUUGUAAAGUACUUUCAGCGGGGAGGCGUUACCCUCAGAAGAAGCACCGGCUAACUCCGUGCCAGCAGCCGCGGUAAUAC
rnacentral:rRNA from 1 species